UCGGGAAUUUUGGGCAAUGGGCGAAAGCCUGACCCAGCAACGCCGCGUGAGGGAUGAAGUAUUUCGGUAUGUAAACCUCGAAAGAAUGGGAAGAAUAAAUGACGGUACCAUUUAUAAGCUCCGGCUAACUACGUGCCAGCAGCCGCGGUAAUACGUAGGGAGCAAGCGUUGUUCGGAUUUACUGGGCGUAAAGGGCGCGUAGGCGGCGCGGUAAGUCACUUGUGAAAUCUCUGAGCUUAACUCAGAACGGCCAAGUGAUACUGCUGUGCUAGAGUGCGGAAGAGGCAACCGGAAUUCUUGGCGUAGCGGUGAAAUGCGUAGAUAUCAAGAGGAACCCCUGAGGCGAAGGCGGGUUGCUGGGCAGACACUGACGCUGAUGCGCGAAAGCCAG
rnacentral:rRNA from 1 species